rnacentral:rRNA from 1 species
UGGUGGAGUGAUUUGUCUGGUUAAUUCCGUUAACGAACGAGACCUCGACCUUGUUAAAUAGUCUAGCCUAUGGCAACAUAGGUUCUGGACUUCUUAGAGGGACUAUCGGUGCUUAGCCGGUGGAAGUUCGAGGCAAUAACA